GACGAACGCUGGCGGCGUGCUUAACACAUGCAAGUCGAACGAAGUGGCGAACGGGUGAGUAAUACGUAGGUAACCUGCCCUCGUUUUUGGGAUAAGCCUUGGAAACGGGGUCUAAUAACGAAUAAAGGGGGAUGUGCUCGCGGCCUAUCGGGUUGUUGGUGGGGUGAUAGCCUACCAAGGCGGUUACGGGUAGCCGGUCUGAUAGGGUGACCGGCAACGUUGGGACGGCGAUACGUCCCAGAGGCCUACGGGGGGGAGCAGUGGGGGAUAUGGCACAAUGGUCGAUAGACUGAGGCAGCGACGACGCGUGGGGGAUGAAGGCUUUCGGGUUGUAAUCCUCUUUCGGUAGCGAACGGGUAGGUGGAGAAGAAGCGCCGGCUAACUACGUGCCAGCAGCCGCGGUAAUAC
rnacentral:rRNA from 1 species